rnacentral:rRNA from 1 species
GGCUCAGGACGAACGCUGGCGGCGUGCUUAACACAUGCAAGUCGAGCGGAAAGGCCCUUUCGGGGGUACUCGAGCGGCGAACGGGUGAGUAACACGUGAGUAAUCUGCCCUUGGCUUUGGGAUAACUACCGGAAACGGUGGCUAAUACCGGAUACGACCACUCCCGGCAUCGGGUGGUGGUGGAAAGUUUUUUCGGCCAGGGAUGUGCUCGCGGCCUAUCAGCUUGUUGGUGGGGUAAUGGCCUACCAAGGCUUCGACGGGUAGCCGGCCUGAGAGGGUGACCGGCCACACUGGGACUGAGACACGGCCCAGACUCCUACGGGAGGCAGCAGUGGGGAAUAUUGGACAAUGGGCGGAAGCCUGAUCCAGCAACGCCGCGUGAGGGAUGACGGCCUUCGGGUUGUAAACCUCUUUCAGUACCGACGAAGCGCCGAUGAUGGUGGUGACGGUAGGUACAGAAGAAGCACCGGCCAACUACGUGCCAGCAGCCGCGGUAAUACGUAGGGUGCGAGCGUUGUCCGGAAUUAUUGGGCGUAAAGGGCUCGUAGGCGGUUUGUCGCGUCGGGAGUGAAAACACCGGGCUUAACUCGGUGCUUGCUUUCGAUACGGGCAGACUAGAGGCAUGCAGGGGAGAACGGAAUUCCUGGUGUAGCGGUGAAAUGCGCAGAUAUCAGGAGGAACACCGGUGGCGAAGGCGGUUCUCUGGGCAUGUCCUGACGCUGAGGAGCG